UACGGGGGGGGCAAGCGUUGUUCGGAAUUACUGGGCGUAAAGGGCGCGUAGGCGGUCAGAUAAGUCAGCUGUGAAAACCUCGGGCUUAACCCGAGGCCUGCAGUUGAAACUGUUUGGCUGGAGUGUGGGAGAGGAGAGUGGAAUUUCCGGUGUAGCGGUGAAAUGCGUAGAUAUCGGGAGGAACACCGGUGGCGAAGGCGGCUCUCUGGACCACUACUGACGCUGAGGCGCGAAAGCUAGGGGAGCAAACAGG
rnacentral:rRNA from 1 species